rnacentral:rRNA from 1 species
GACGAACGCUGGCGGCGUGCCUAACACAUGCAAGUCGAGCGGAGAUUUCUUUGGCACUGAGUACUCUAGUAAAGACGCAAAGGAAGCGUCAUGAAGAAACAACAUAGAUGUUAAAAACACUGAUAAAAGUUUCUUCAUCACGCGUUUUUAAAGUGCCAACACAAAGAGGGAAGGAUAAGUAGAGUAUUGAGUGCCAAAGAAAUCUUAGCGGCGGACGGGUGAGUAACACGUGGGCAACCUGCCUUGAAGUGGGGGAUAACACCGGGAAAUCGGUGCUAAUACCGCAUAACAUACACAAACUGCAUGGUAAGUGUAUCAAAGGAGCAAUCCGCUUUAAGAUGGGCCCGCGGCUGAUUAGCUAGUUGGUAAGGUAACGGCUUACCAAGGCGACGAUCAGUAGCCGACCUGAGAGGGUGACCGGCCACACUGGAACUGAGACACGGUCCAGACUCCUACGGGAGGCAGCAGUGGGGAAUAUUGCGCAAUGGGGGAA